UUUUUUUUUUUUUUUUGUGUGUGUGUAUAUAUGUGUAUUUAUGUUUGUAUGUAUGCAUUUGUAUAUAAAGAAUAUCUACGUAUAUGUAGAUAUACGAUUAAGAACGGAAAUUGAACUGAAUUAUAUCAAACGAAGCUACCGAAAAAAUUAAUUAAUGCGAAAUUAAAAAAAAAAAAAAAAAAAAAAAAAUGACAACGAAGGAAAAACCUUGUAGUAAAAUUCACGUAUUUGUCAUAAAUGAUGAUAAAGAUAAGAAUAAAGAUGAUGGAGAGAGAAAUGAGGAAUUAACAGAUAAACAUAACGAAAAUGAUAAUAUUAAUACAAAAAAAGGAAAAACUGAAAGUGAAAGUAUAACUUUAACUGAUAAAAUAAAUGAAAAUGAUAAUAAUCACAUGAAUUAUAAAAAUAAAAUUAAUGAGCAAGAACAAGAACAAAAACAAGAACAAGAACAAAAACAAGAACAAGAACAAAAACAAGAACAAGAACAAAAACAAGAACAAGAACAAGAACAAAAACAAGAACAAAAACAAAAACAAGAACAAAAACAAAAAACAAAUAACUUGAUAAAACACAAAAUAUAUUACCCACAAGUAAAAAUAAUAAAAGUUAGUUGUGGUGAGUCAAUUAUUGGUUUUUUAUCUGAUAUAGGGAAAGUAUAUUGUUGGCAUUUAAGUAAUUUAAAUGAUUGUGAUAAAAAUGUACCUUACUUGUUAAUAGAUAAUUUAAUAAAACAUAAAACUAUAUAUGAUGUAAGCAGUGGUUCGCAUCAUAUUGUUUUUAUUUCAAAAGAAGGAGAACUGUUUAGUUAUGGUGAUAAUACAUAUGGACAACUGGGUAAUCAUAUGAUAGGACAUGACUAUGUAGAUAAUGAGUGUGAUGCUUCUGUUGUAAUGUUGGGAAAGAAUAAUGCCACACCUAAUGAUGUUAUAUCAAAUGUUGAUGUUACUAAAACUGAAACUAUAAAUAAUACAAAAAAAUACAAAGUGAACAAAGUAAAUAUAGCAAACGACAUUGUUAUAGCUGCAUAUAGUGCUGAUAAAUUUACUUUAUAUCUGACGACUUGUGGAUUGUUAUACGGAUUUGGUUUAAUUAACAAACAUUUAUUACAAAGUAAAAUCAAUAAAAAUAAAAUAAAUAAAAUUUUAACUACACCUUAUCUUAUAGAUACUAACAAUAUAACUUUUAAAAAAAUAGCAAU
rnacentral:lncRNA from 1 species